UUCUGCCUCUGGAAUUUGGGCAGUGUCUAUAAUGUAUGGGUUGGAUUGCAAGCCACCUGAGCAUAGUUAGUGCUAUUGAAGGGAACAAUAACUAAUUAGACUUACGGCAGAGAUUAUACUGCUUUUGUAAUUGAACACAUGCUUCGCUCUGCUACUGAAUCAAAUCUUCCUUUUUCUUUUUCUCUCAGGAACACAGGGACACUUCACUGGAAGCUGUAUGGAGAGGAAAAUAUAAAUUCCAGGUACUUGUCCAGAAGAGAAGAACUACGUUCCUCCGGAAGACUGUUCGAGUACUGUUAUCAUUCCUGCUCAGGGGAACAGAUAUAAGGCCUGUAGGUCACCUGACCUGGGUCCUCUGCCUUCUUGUCUCGUCGUACUCGCUUUCAGAUCAUCUUGCUGCUGCUCCCGACUGCACACAAGGCUUCAAUAUUAGUGGGAUCCCCUGUUUCCCUCUUCUGGAGGUGCGGGUUUUGCAAAAAAAUCCCUCCACCCCACUAGUCAUCGAACCGGGCUGGACUAGACCGUAAACCGUUGACACUCCACUCAAUCUCUUCCCUGCCCACUGAGAGCUGUCAUGGGCAGAAUUUAUUUCACAGUAACUACAUCAUAAUUGCUAUUUGUAGUUGUACCUUUUCAAGUUAUAACAUAAUGAAGUAAUGUCUUAGAACCAGGUGUGCUAUUUAAUCACUCCUCUCUGUUCAGUCUUGUGAAAGUUUUCCUUGCAAAAAUAGGUUGGUGAGCACAGAAUUAGCAUAGGAACCUGAAAUGAAUUUUGAGGCAGCAGUUGUUUUAUUACCUAUCUUUUUCUGCUGUAAUAUUUCAUGAUUUGAUGCUUCAGAAAGCAAGAGUCCAGGAAAUUUUGAUUUAAGAGCAUUCAUGCUUUCAGCUAACAUUCUGAAAUUGCUUUAAGAAAUUCAUUUCAGAGGCUAAUCUAUAGCAGCUUGUUAAUAUAUAUAGCAAGAGGACCCCGUAUGCUGUAUUUGACAUCAGUGGUUGAUCAGGUCCGUUCGGGAGUCUGUAUAUAGGAAGAAAACUGGAUGAAGUUCUGAGAAGUACCAAUGUGAUAUACUAGUGCUUGCUACCCUAUCUUAAAUCCAGUUUUCUUUGUUUUAGGGCUUGGAAGGUUAGGAACAGUAGGUACAUAAUACUCAACAGUUUUAAAAUGCUUUAAACAGUAGCCAAACUGAGUUUGCUUUCUGCUCUGAUUUUUUUUUAAUGUACAAAACCUUACUUUUCUGUUACCUUCAGUGAAGUGGGAACAUCUUACUUCAGUCCUUUAAAGAAGGGCUAUUAUCUAUAAAUGAAGGGAGCAUUUGUCACAUCUAAAUCACAAAUUGCUAUCCCAGGACAUCCUAAGCUCCCUCCCUGUCAAUGACGUCUAUAUCACAAAGCACAGUCCUCUCAGAGAUUUCCUCAUCAGUUAUGUAUUUGUGAUUUUAUUUCACUGUAGGAAGAAUAGAAAAUGUCUGGGUGAUUCUUGGCACUACAAAAAGGGAGGAAAUUUUCAGCUUUCAGAAAAAGCAGAGAAAUUAACAAGAGGGGAUAUUUCAACACCACAAAUGGUGCACUGUACUGUAAAAAACACGAAGAAGAAAGCAGGAGAAGAAUGUUGUGUUUUCAUUGUGUCUCCUCAUCUGGCAGGCUUUCUGUUCAACUAGAAAUGAUCUGACAUUAUCAGCUUGAUAAACAACAGGGAGCAUACAGUGGCAUUAGAACUGCUCAUGCUGCACAGUCACCACA